rnacentral:rRNA from 1 species
GAUGGACGCUAGCGGCAGGCUUAACACAUGCAAGUCGAGGGGCAGCGUGAUGAAGUAGCAAUACGGAUUUGACGGCGACCGGCGCACGGGUGCGUAACGCGUAUGUAACCUACCUUUAACAGGGGGAUAACACUGAGAAAUUGGUACUAAUACCCCAUAACACUUUGGGAGGCAUCUCCUGAGGUUGAAAGUUCCGGCGGUUAGAGAUGGACAUGCGUUGUAUUAGCUAGAUGGUGAGGUAACGGCUCACCAUGGCGACGAUACAUAGGGGGACUGAGAGGUUAACCCCCCACACUGGUACUGAGACACGGACCAGACUCCUACGGGAGGCAGCAGUGAGGAAUAUUGGUCAAUGGACGCAAGUCUGAACCAGCCAUGCCGCGUGCAGGAAGACGGCUCUAUGAGUUGUAAACUGCUUUUGUACAAGGGUAAACCUCGGUACGUGUACCGAGCUGAAAGUACUGUACGAAUAAGGAUCGGCUAACUCCGUGCCAGCCGCCGCCGUAACAC